rnacentral:misc_RNA from 1 species
AAGCAAGAAGGUGUGAGCUUGAGAUGCAACAUCAUUUACAAAUUUCUUUAGUGACUCUGUGUUUAUAAUGAGAAACAGUCAAUGCUAUCUUUGAUGCCCCUUUUGGCACUGGAAGUUAGAGUUUUCAGCACUUAAUCAUAUAGGUGUGAUAGGGUUUUUAAUUUCAAUAGCUAGCAUGUUAAGUGUGUUUCAUAACAUACACUAUUGAGGGAGGCACUUAACUAUCAACAAAAACCACUUAAAAACAAUUAUAGAAAAUAUCUGCUGUAAAUAAUUAGCUAUUGAGAUUACCAUUAGCAUGAUUGCAACUAAUAUUGUCAUCACCAAACCAUGGCUGCUGGCCACAGUCUCUUUUAUUUUGAAUGAUUUUAAUUUUGGCAUUUACUUGUUACAAAUUUGAUUAUCAAAUAAUAAUAGCUAAUGCUUUAAUGUUAGUAUUUCAAACAGCUUCAAUUCAAAACUAAUAAUUUCAGCGCUAAAACUUGUAAAUUAUUGCUAAGCUUCACUUUAUCAAGCAGUCCAAUGAGUAUAUACCAUAUUCAUUUAUCCAAGAAAUUAUCAUUUUGGCAGGAGACAAUUGGGGAGCUUCAUA